GGCGAUGCCAAUCAGCCCGGGGUCAGUCGGGUCCUAAGUCUAAGCCGAACGGCGAUGGCGAUGGCAGAGACGGUUAAUAUUCCGUCACUGCCGCAUGGGGCGACGUGGAGACGGAGCAGUGAAACCACCGCGGGGCGACGGAAGUCCCCGUUGAAGAGUGUAGGCGUUGAGGAUGGCAGGCAAAUCCACCGUCCGAGCUGAACUUGAGAGUAUGGAGUCUUCUUCGGAAGAAUCCAAUAGUGUGGGUAAUCAUACUCCCGAGAAAAUCCGCUAAGCUUAACCCAUGCGGCACCCGUACCGCAAACGGACACACGUGGUCGGGUAGAACAUACUGAGGCGUUGAGAGAUUCAUGGUUAAGGAACUAGGCAAAUUGACCCUGUAACUUCGGGAUAAAGGGUCCUCGUGAAUAGCGAGGCGCAGAGAAUAGGUCCAGGCAACUGUUUAACAAAAACACAGGGCUGUGCAAACUCGAAAGAUGACGUAUACAGCCUGACACCUGCCCGGUGCCGGAAGGUUAAGAGGAGAUGUCACUCGCAAGAGGAAGCAUUGAAUUGAAGCCCCGGUAAACGGCGGCCGUAACAAUAACGGUCCUAAGGUAGCGAAAUUCCUUGUCGGGUAAGUUCCGACCUGCACGAAUGGUGUAAUGAUCCGGACGCUGUCUCAACCAUGAGCUCAGUGAAAUUGUAGUAUCGGUGAAGAUGCCGAUUACCCGCGAUGGGACGAAAAGACCCCGUGAACCUUUACUACAGCUUAGCAUUGACCUUGGUCAUCCGAUGUGUAGGAUAGGCCGGAGGCUUCGAAGCGGGAGCGCCAGCUUUCGUGGAGCCAUCCUUGAAAUACGGCCCUUUGGCUGUCUGAGGUCUAACGCGCGAUGCGCGGACACUGCUUGGUGGGUAGUUUGACUGGGGUGGUCGCCUCCAAAAGCGUAACGGAGGCUUCCAAAGGUGCCCUCGGGUCGAUUGGUAACCGACCUCAAAGAGUGCAAUGGCAUAAGGGCGCUUGACUGGGAGGCAGACAUGCCGAGCAGGCAGGAAACUGGGGCAUAGUGAUCCGGCGGAUGUGUAUGGAAACUCCGUCGCUCAAAGGAUAAAAGGUACUCCGGGGAUAACAGGCUGAUCCCCCCAAGAGCUCAUAUCGACGGGGUGGUUUGGCACCUCGAUGUCGGCUCGUCACAUCCUGGGGCUGGAGAAGGUCCCAAGGGUUGGGCUGUUCGCCCAUUAAAGUGGCACGCGAGCUGGGUUCAGAACGUCGCGAGACAGUUCGGUCUCUAUCUAUCGUGGGCGUGGGAGUUUUGCGUGGUGCCGUCACUAGUACGAGAGGACCGUGAUGGACAGACCUCCGGUUUACCAGUUGUGCCGCCAGGCGCACCGCUGGGUAUCUGAGUCUGGAUUGGAUAAGCGCUGAAAGCAUCUAAGUGCGAAGCCAGCCGCAAGAUGAGAACUCCAUUGAGGGUCGUCAGAGACGAUGACGUUGAUAGGAUGCAGGUGUAAAGACAGCGAUGUCAAAGCCGAGCAUUACUAAUUGCCUAA
rnacentral:rRNA from 1 species